rnacentral:rRNA from 1 species
ACCGGCAAACGGGUGCGGAACACGUACACAACCUUCCUUAAGGUGGGGGAUAGCCCAGAGAAAUUUGGAUUAAUACCUCAUAGAAUAUUGGAGCUGCAUGGCUUUGAUAUUAAAGAUUUAUCGCCAUAAGAUGGGUGUGCGUAUGAUUAGGUAGUUGGUUGAGGUAACGGCUCACCAAGCCUUCGAUCAUUAACUGGUGUGAGAGCACGACCAGUCACACGGGCACUGAGACACGGGCCCGACUCCUACGGGAGGCAGCAGUAAGGAAUAUUGGUCAAUGGACGCAAGUCUGAACCAGCCAUGCCGCGUGAAGGAUGACUGCCCUCUGGGUUGUAAACUUCUUUUAUCUGGGACGAAAAAGGGCCAUUCUUGGUCAACUGACGGUACCAGAGGAAUAAGCACCGGCUAACUCCGUGCCAGCAGCCGCGGUAAUACGGAGGGUGCAAGCGUUAUCCGGAUUUACUGGGUUUAAAGGGAGCGCAGGCGGAUUAGUAAGUCAGUGGUGAAAGCCUUGAGCUUAACUCGAGAACUGCCAUUGAUACUAUUAGUCUUGAAUGUUGUUGAGGUUUGCGGAAUGGGUCAUGUAGCGGUGAAAUGCAUAGAUAUGACCCGGAACACCUAUUGCGAAGGCAGCAGGCUAAACAAAUAUUGACGCUGAGGCUCGAAAGCGUGGGGAUCAAACAGGAUUAGAUACCCUGGUAGUCCACGCCCU